GGGGCUGUAGCUCAGUGGUAGAGCACUUGCCUUGCACGUAUGGAACACUGUGUUCCAUUCUCAGCACCA
rnacentral:tRNA from 1 species